UUUUACAACAUAAAGUAGAAAGAGAAAAAAAUCCAAUUUAAUAUAAAAGAAAUAAUACAGAUGAACUCAGGGGAUGUGGGAUAUAGAGCAGUAUUUAUUUUCUUGGAAAAGACCGGAAUUAUUAGAAGAAUAUAGACUAGAUAUUUUUCUGUUAUUUUCUUUUUGUUAUUUUGUCUGUUUGUUUCUGGGUGGGGUUUAUUUAAUUAUUUAUUUGUAUUUUUAUUUUAUUUUUAUUUUUUGCUUUCUCAUAUAGUAGAAAAGACCAUUCUGACCCACACUCCAUUUCAGAAGGUGGCGGUAAUGCACAUCUAAAAGUUGUUUGCCAACCGCCAUAAAAAAAGAAAAAGAAGAAGAAGAAGCUUAGCAACAAUGGCGAAUUUUCAACCGUACCAGUUUAAUCCCGAGUCUGACACCGACAGAGAGGAAGAACACGCCGGUAGUCCUGACGCUUUUCAACCGAGACUGGAGCAGGACGGUUCAGAGUGGUUCUCAGAGGAAUGAUUCAGGUCCCCAUUCCUCUCAGCUGCAGGCGUUGAGGGGAAUUGCCUCAACUUGUACACCCUGCAGAACAUCUACAGAAUGGACUACGGAUCUCUGAGGUGUAAAACAUAAGAACAUUGGUGCUGUGGGACGCCACAACAGGGUCCUCAUCGCGCCAUGCUCCGGAUCCGCCAGGAGUUUCCUGAUCCAGCUGACCAGUAUGUUGGCUUCCGACUGCCCCUUGACUGAAGCCUGACUUGUGGCGAGCAACCACUUCCU